AUGGCCACUGGAGCCACAGCCACAGCCACAGCAGGAGCUGUAUCCACAACCAUAUCCAUGUCCAGUCCUAAAUCCACAGCCGGUGUUGUAUCCACAGCCAGAGCUGUAUCGACAGCCAUAGCCACAGCCAUAGCCAGAACCAUAGCCAUAGCCAUAACCAUAGUCAGUCGUAGUCAUGGCUACUGUAUGAGUUUCUGUAACAGUUACAACACAUGGUGUCUAAAGGUGGGGGUUCAGUAGUUCAGUGGAGAAGUAGGUGGAGUAUUCUGAAGUCUGAAUGCUAUCCUCUACCUCAAAUUUUUACAUGCUGGAAGGAAUGAGUGGAAGACAUUACUACAGAUUUCAUGACCUCAUUAUCAUAGCUUUUUUUUUUUUAACAAGAUCAUUGUACAGACACAUUAGGAGGGAGCUAGAUUUGAAGUGGAGCAACUGGGACUUGAACCAGUGGCCACAUGGGAUGCUGGCAUUGCUGAUGGUGGCUUAAUCAGUUAUGCCACUACACUAGCCCCAGAGCAUAGAUUUAAAAGUAAAAAAAUGCAUGGAAAAGCAGUGGAAGAUGGCCCAAGUCUUUGGGUCCCUACACCCACAUAGUAAACCUAGAUGAAGCUCCUGGUUGCUAGCUCCCAGCUUUGGCUUCACCCAGCCUCAGCAGCUGCAGCCGUUUCGGAAGUGAACUACUGGAUGGAAGAUCUCUCUCUAUUUCUCCCUCUCUUUCUGUAAUUUUGCUUUUCAAAUAAAUAAAUGAAUAAAUAAAUCUUUCUCA
rnacentral:lncRNA from 1 species